rnacentral:rRNA from 1 species
CGGAGAGUUUGAUCCUGGCUCAGAGUGAACGCUGGCGGCGUGGAUUAGGCAUGCAAGUCGAGCGAUCCCCGCAAGGGGAUAGCGGCAAACGGGUUAGUAACACGUGAGGAAUUUGCCUCGAAGUCGAACACAGCUCCGUGAAAACGGGGGUAAUAUUCGAUGGUGUCCUGUCAUCGCAUGGUGACAGGAUUAAAGAUGGGGACCGCAAGGCCUAUCACUUCGGGAUGACCUCGCGUCCUAUCAGCUAGUUGGUGGGGUAAUGGCCUACCAAGGCUUUUGACGGGUAGCUGGUCUGAGAGGACGAUCAGCAACACUGGGACUGAGACACUGCCCAGACUCCUACGGGAGGCUGCAGUCGAGAAUCUUUAGCAAUGGGCGCAAGCCUGACUAUGCGACGCCGCGUGCAGGAUGAAGGCUUUCGGGUUGUAAACUGCUUUUGUCAGGAAAGAAAGCUCUACAUCAUAACAUGGUGCAGGGUAGACGGUACCUGACGAAUAAGCCACGGCCAACUCCGUGCCAGCAGCCGCGGUAAUACGGAGGUGGCGAGCGUUACUCGGAAUCAUUGGGUGUAAAGGGCAAGUAGGCGGCCAAUUAAGUGAGGGGUGAAAUCUUCCGACUCAAUCGGAAAACCGCCUUUCAUACUGAUCGGCUUGAGGUCAGAAGAGGGAAACGGAAUUAGCAGUGUAAGGGUGAAAUCUGUAGAUAUUGCUAAGAACACCAGCGGCGAAGGCGGUUUCCUGGUCUAGACCUGACGCUGAAUUGCGAAAGCUAGGGGAGCAAACAGAAUUAGGUACUCUGGUAGUCCUAGCCGUAAACGAUGAGCACUAGGUGUUGGCCCUUCUAGGGUCAGUGCCGCAGCUAACGCAUUAAGUGCUCCACCUGGGGACUACGGCCGCAAGGCUAAAACUCAAAGGAAUUGACGGGGACCCGCACAAGCGGUGGAACAUGUGGUUUAAUUCGAUGCUACGCGAAGAACCUCACCAAGGCUUGACAUACAGGAAGUAGUGAACUGAAAGGGGAACCACCCGUUAAGUCGGGAGCCUGUACAGGUGCUGCAUGGCUGUCGUCAGCUCGUGUCGUGAGAUGUUCGGUUAAGUCCGAAAACGAGCGCAACCCUCGGGUCUAGUUACACGUGUCUAGACCGACUGCCCGUGAGAAAC